GUCCCUUCGGUGACAUCCAUAUAAUUCGAACAAUACGGAGAAGAUUAGCAUGGCCUCUGCACAAGAAUGAUCAUACACAAAUCAAGAAAUGGUCCUAAUUUAA